UGAUAUAAAUAAUUGCUAAAGAAAAUACUACUAUCAUACCUCUACAAUAUAACUAAAAGGCUAGGGCUAUUAUACUCUUAUAAGUAUAGGGCCCUUUGUACUCAUAAGUUUCCAGCAGUUGGAUGAAGAGAUAUGCGUUUAGGAUGAUAGUGGUCCCCAGUUAUAAUGAUAGUAGUCUCCUAGGGUUGAGCGGGUGGUUGGUUGAAUAGUAUGAUAUAACGGAUGAAAAUGAUCAAAGAGGUAGAUCUAAUGGCAAAAAACUUAUGAUUACAAAGAAACAUAUACUCAUAAGAGUGUAUAGUAGUUGGACCCUAACUAAAUAUUGUUAAUCACAUAUUUCAUGCAUCAAUUAAAUACUGAAUAAGCGGGUAG
rnacentral:lncRNA from 1 species